rnacentral:rRNA from 1 species
AUUGAACGCUGGCGGCAGGCUUAACACAUGCAAGUCGAGCGAGCGGCGGACGGGUGAGUAAUGUCUGGGAAACUGCCUGAUGGAGGGGGAUAACUACUGGAAACGGUAGCUAAUACCGCAUACCAUCAGAUGUGCCCAGAUGGGAUUAGCUAGUAGGUGGGGUAAUGGCUCACCUAGGCGACGAUCCCUAGCUGGUCUGAGAGGAUGACCAGCAAGACUGGAACUGAGACUCGGACCAGACGUCUACGGGAGGCAGCAGUGGGGAAUAUUGCACAAUGGGCGCAAGCCUGCUGCAGCCAUGCCGCGUGUGUGAAGAAGGCCUGCGGGGGGUAAAGCACUUUCAGCGAGGAGGCGUUACUCGCAGAAGAAGCACCGGCUAACUCCGUGCCAGCAGCCGCGGUAAUAC